AACGAACGCUGGCGGCAUGCCUAACACAUGCAAGUCGAACGGGAUCCUAGCUUGCUAGGUGAGAGUGGCGGACGGGUGAGUAACACGUGGGAAUCUGCCUUUUGGUUCGGGAUAACCGCGGGAAACUGCGGCUAAUACCGAAUGCCCUCGAGAGAGGAAAGAUUUAUCGCCAGAAGAGGAGCCCGCGUCCGAUUAGGUAGUUGGUGGGGUAAAGGCCUACCAAGCCGACGAUCGGUAGCUGGUCUGAGAGGAUGAUCAGCCACACUGGGACUGAGAUACGGCCCAGACUCCUACGGGAGGCAGCAGUGGGGAAUAUUGGACAAUGGGGGCAACCCUGAUCCAGCAAUGCCGCGUGAGUGAUGAAGGCCUUAGGGUUGUUAAAGACUCUUUUUGCCGGGGGACGAUAAUGACGGUACCCGGAGAAUAGGUCCCGGCUAACUUCGUGCCAGCAGCCGCGGU
rnacentral:rRNA from 1 species